AAAAUACUCCCUCCGUCCCAAAAUAAGUGACUUGGAUUUGUAUAAGAAUCUUAUACAAAUCCAAGUCACUUAUUUUGGGAUGGAGGGAGUAUAAA
rfam:Brachypodium distachyon strain Bd21 chromosome 1, whole genome shotgun sequence.